rnacentral:rRNA from 1 species
GACGAACGCUGGCGGCGUGCCUAAUACAUGCAAGUAGAACGCUGAAGGAGGAGCUUGCUCUUCUGGAUGAGUUGCGAACGGGUGAGUAACGCGUAGGUAACCUGCCUGGUAGCGGGGGAUAACUAUUGGAAACGAUAGCUAAUACCGCAUAACAGUAGAUGUUGCAUGACAUUUACUUAAAAGGUGCAAUUGCAUCACUACCAGAUGGACCUGCGUUGUAUUAGCUAGUUGGUGGGGUAACGGCUCACCAAGGCGACGAUACAUAGCCGACCUGAGAGGGGGAUCGGCCACACUGGGACUGAGACACGGCCCAGACUCCUACGGGAGGCAGCAGUAGGGAAUCUUCGGCAAUGGACGGAAGUCUGACCGAGCAACGCCGCGUGAGUGAAGAAGGGUUUCGGAUCGUAAAGCUCUGUUGCAAGAGAAGAACGAGUGUGAGAGUGGAAAGUUCACACUGUGACGGUAUCUUACCAGAAAGGGACGGCUAACUACGUG